ACUCUGCUGUGUAGAAGAGUAAUUGACUUGUAUUUUCUGGUAUUUUCUCUAUACAGAAAUUAGUUCAAACUAUUUCCAAGAUGUUCAAAAAUUGGAUGUGGCUGCAUGAAACAGGUUAAAAAGUUUGAUAUGGUAGGGACUGACUAUGGAAUGGCAAUGUGAGGAGUGUGGCAGACAGACCCUCUCCCCAGGGUUCUAUGAUCACACUCUGACUGAUACAAGAUGAAACAAU
rnacentral:lncRNA from 1 species